GACCAGAGAGAUUGAAGUGUUCUCCGACUGGUUUUUGAAUGUUAUAAUUCUUGAUGUCUGAUUUAUGUCCAUUUAUUCUUUUAUGUAGAGACUGUCUGGUUUGGCCAGUGUACAUGGCAGAGGGACAUUGAGUGACAGGGCAUGGAUCACUUGAUGAUAACCUGUCUGUCCAUUCCCUGUGGGGCACCUGCCAUUGGCCACUGUCAGAGGACAGGACACUGGGCUUGAUGGACCUUUGGUCUGACCCAGUAUGGCCAUUUUUAUGUUCUUAGAUUAGGCCGAAAAGCUGCUGGAAAUGUAUAAGAACCCUGGGACGCGAUCCUGCUUCAUCUCAGAUCUGCUUUGGGUUUCAAGAAGGGGAAACCUUAAGCCAUAAGGAUUGUGAUCCCCAGUCAUUGACUGGAGUCACCCUGAACAUGGACAUUGGACUAUAACCUAUGGACUAUUUCUAAAAGGACUUUUGGCAACUAUAAGCUCAUCUGUACUAUGUAUCUGAACCUCAGGAAUUGAAUUCCAGUCUCUAUGUAUAUGGAUCUUUUAACCAACCCCCUCUCUCUUUAAUAAAUUUUAGCUUAGUUAAUCAGAA